AAUGUAGCUCAUGGGUAAAGCACUUGCCUAGCAUGCAUGAGAUCCUGGGUUCAAUUCCUACCAUU
rnacentral:tRNA from 1 species